GCCCGAGAAGGUUGAGGGGAGGUAAAAGGGGGAAGGAAUCCUCUGCACUCAGGGAGCAGAGCUUCUUGGUGACUGCUUACUGCAAGGGAGAACCCACAGAGUUCAGAUCUGUUCCACACAAACCUAUUCUUGGGUGCUUCAUAUCCGGACCCUUCCCACCUUCAACGUGCAGCAGAAUCACAUAAUUAGAGGAAUGCAGCGGCAGCAGAACUAAAGUAGAAGAAAGGCCAGGAUUUGGCCUGCACUGCAGAAGUAGCUGAAGCCUUACAGAGCAAGAGAGCCAGUUUACAUGGCUUGUCUACAUUACCUGCUGGAUCGACGGGCAGCAAUUGAUCCAUCACGUCUAGAAUAGAUGUGAUAAAUUGACCACCGAGCACUCUCCCCUCGACUUCGGUACUCCACCAGGACGAGAGGCGCAGACGAAGUUGCCAGGAGAGUGUCAGCCAUCGAUUUACCGCAGUGAAGACACCCAUGGAAAGGUCAUGGAGUUGUGCAAAGUCAACCAGGCAACCACACUGUAGAGGGGCCCACAGAAAGUAACUUGCAGAGGUAGGUCGCUGGCUGGAACUGAGCCAUCACGU